ensembl:lncRNA
AUGGACCAGCAGAUGGACCAGCUUCCAGGUAAAGAAUCACGCAUCAGACCAGGAGGGCAGCCAGUAGAAGGCUGGAACUCCCCCAGUCUCAUCAGCUCCAGGCACUUUCUUCGGCGGUUCCUAUCCCCUGCCUUGAGUAGCACCCACGCUGGAGCAAGCGCAAAGAAGUGGAGGCAUGGCUCAGCCAGUCCAGCUGGGAAGCCUCCCCCCAGUGCUGACUUUAGCUUGAGGAUCAUGUUUCCAGAUGACCAUCUGGGGGCUAGCGGGGAAGGAAGGAGCCCUCCAAGUGCCCAGCACCAGCUCACCAUUCUCAUAAAGUUGAGGCCACUCCUGUUAAGAGGCAGCUGGAAAGGGCCCCCCUGGGAGCACCACCAGCCCUCUGACUACAGGUACCUCCCUAGCUGCUUCUCCCCGCCCCUCGCCAAAGCCUUACCUGUCCUCUCUGGGUCUCAGCAGGAGUAUCACUUUUAUGUUGUUUCUACCUUGUCUCUUGCUGGUGUGAUCUUACAUAUUUCAGAUCUGCUUUGGAAAAAUAUGUCACUGAGGAGAAAUAAAAUUUUCUUUUCCCUGGUCAGGGGUCCUUAGUGUAGUCUCAAAGCCUCACUACAGUCUCUCAACUGCCCCUUUCUAGAGAAGCUGAGCAGGCCUCGGAGACACACAAGCUCAGAAGCUCACACCAAGUCAGGGC